rnacentral:rRNA from 1 species
UACGUUCCCGGGUCUUGUACACACCGCCCGUCACACCAUGGGAGCGGGUUUUACCAGAAGUAGGUAGCUUAACCGCAAGGGGGGCGCUUACCACGGUAGGAUUCGUGACUGGGGGUG